rnacentral:rRNA from 1 species
UGGAUUAGGCAUGCAAGUCGCACGAGAAACCCCGCAAGGGGGAGUACAGUGGCGUAAGGGUGAGUAAUGCAUCGAUAAUCUGCCCCUCCAUGGGGGAUAACCCCGGGAAACUGGGACUAAUACCCCAUAAUGUCGCGGGAUUCGCUUUCCGCGACCAAAGGUGGCCUCUGUUUACAUGCUGCCGGGGAGGGAGGAGUCGAUGUCCUAUCAGCUUGUUGGCGGGGUAACGGCCCACCAAGGCGAUGACGGGUAGCUGGCCUGAGAGGGUGGUCAGCCACAUUGGGACUGAGAUACUGCCCAGACUCCUACGGGAGGCUGCAGUCGAGAAUCUUUCGCAAUGGGCGCAAGCCUGACGGAGCGACGCCGCGUGGACGAUGAAGGCCUUCGGGUUGUAAAGUCC